UACGAAGGGUGUAAGCGUUACUCGGAAUUACUGGGCGUAAAGCGUGCGUAGGCGGUUCGUUAAGUCUGAUGUGAAAGCCCUGGGCUCAACCUGGGAAUGGCAUUGGAAACUGGCGACCUAGAGUGCGGUAGAGGGUAGUGGAAUUCCCGGUGUAGCAGUGAAAUGCGUAGAGAUCGGGAGGAACAUCUGUGGCGAAGGCGACUGCCUGGACCAGCACUGACACUGAGGCACGAAAGCGUGGGGAGCAAACAGG
rnacentral:rRNA from 1 species